CCUACAGUGGGCAGCAGUGGGGAAUAUUGGACAAUGGGCGAAAGCCUGAUCCAGCCAUGCCGCGUGUGUGAAGAAGGCCUUCGGGUUGUAAAGCACUUUCAGUGGGGAAGAAAGCCUUGGGGCUAAUACCCUCGAGGAAGGACAUCACCCACAGAAGAAGCACCGGCUAACUCCGUGCCAGCAGCCGCGGUAAUACGGAGGGUGCGAGCGUUAAUCGGAAUUACUGGGCGUAAAGCGCGCGUAGGCGGUCUGAUAAGCCGGUUGUGAAAGCCCCGGGCUCAACCUGGGAACGGCAUCCGGAACUGUCAGGCUAGAGUGCAGGAGAGGAAGGUAGAAUUCCCGGUGUAGCGGUGAAAUGCGUAGAGAUCGGGAGGAAUACCAGUGGCGAAGGCGGCCUUCUGGACUGACACUGACGCUGAGGUGCGAAAGCGUGGGUAGCAAACAGGAUUAGAUACCCCAGUAGUC
rnacentral:rRNA from 1 species